ACUCCGGUGGAUUUAUUCAAGCCUUUGUGCUCCCUGAAGUGCAGAACCACAUUUAAGAAUUGAAAGAGAAAGAUUUGAGGCUGAAAGGUUGGUGAUCUGGUGUUGUUGGUCACUUGGAAUCAAAUGAAAAUUCUAGCCGCUGGCAUAGUAGUGGAGACAUUCCUACUGAUAGGUAAAGUCCUACAUGCUCAUCUACUCAAGCUCCUCUUCUGACAAAGACUUCAUUUCCUUUCAGAGAGGAUUCUCUCCCUUGGUUAUGAAGUAAUUUCAAAUGUGCUGGAGACUGGUCCGACAGGGUUAGUUUCUCCACAUUUUACAGCUCUAUUGGAAUCUGCAAUCUUCCCAGCAUUGGUCAUAAAUGUAAAGGACAUGUCAGAAUGGGAAGAAGAUGCUGAUACAGUAUAUACGGAAGAAUCUUCCUUCAGAUAUAGACGAAGUUAGUGGAUGAAGGGGGGAUUUAUUCACUGCCAGAAAAAGUGCAGUAAACUUACUUGGUGUUACUUCAAUGUCAAAGGGGCCACGCCAAUGGAGACUUCCAUUGUCAGUUUAUCAGCCAAGCGGAAAAAAAUGUCAAAAGAACAAAAGAAGCAAUCAGUGCCAUUCUAAGGGAGAGUUAUAGAUUUGUGUUAUUUGUAAGCAAAUCGAUGGUUCAUGCACACAAUGUGUCAAGUGUUCCACAUGUCUCCAUGCCAUGUGUGCGUGAAGGACUGAUUAUCGCAUAGAGAGGUGAGACUUCAUUUAGAUUGAAUUGGUUUCCAUUUGCAUAAGUUUUGUUGAUAUUUUAUAAUAUGUAUUGUCCUGGUUUAGUGCCACUUUUAAUUAAUGUUGUCUCUUCUGGAACUUGGGCAAUGAUUCCCACUCCUGGAACGCCUCAACAAGUACAAUCAGGCAUGCAGCCGCUUGUGAAUAAUGCAGCUGCUGCUAAUGUGCCUUUGUCCCACUCCUGGAACGCCUCAACAAGUACAAUCAGGCAUGCAGCCGCUUGUGAAUAAUGCAGCGCCUGUGCAACCUUGGUACCCAUUGUUAAAAGGAAAGUUGCCUUUAUUCAUUCACGCCUCUUACUUGUUUUAUUGGUUUUCCAUGUUUCGAUGUGUAACUAUGAUUAUAAUGAAUGUGAGGUCUUUUGUUUUUAUGUUCUGCUACUUUAUGUUGUUAAUGAAUUCCUUCUAAUUGCAGACAAAUACAAGUGUUGCAUCUUCUUUAGGGACAUUUUUCCUGCCCCAGAUCUCAAUGAUCUUCUUGGACAUGUUGAAUGUAUACAGAGUGUACAGGGAGCAUAUUUGAAACACAAAUAUGUAUAGUAAGAUUAUAGUGGUUUUUAACAAAUAUUUACUAUUCAGUCCCUUCAUACAAAUUCUUCUGGAAUUAUGCAGGGGAGAUGUCAAAUAGCUGUCUAUUAAGAAUGUUAUGGUGCAAGAAAUGUUCCAAGACUUUACAAUCAUGCGUUUAUAAAGCUUGUGAAACACCAGUCAUCACGCGAGAGUGUUGUCAUUGCUCUGUAAAAG